rnacentral:rRNA from 1 species
GAUGAACGCUGGCGGCGUGCCUAAUACAUGCAAGUCGAGCGAACAGACGAGGAGCUUGCUCCUUUGACGUUAGCGGCGGACGGGUGAGUAACACGUAGGUAACCUACCUAUAAGACUGGGAUAACUUCGGGAAACCGGAGCUAAUACCGGAUAAUAUUUUGAACCGCAUGGUUCGAUAGUGAAAGACGGCUUUGCUGUCACUUAUAGAUGGAUCUGCGCCGCAUUAGCUAGUUGGUAAGGUAACGGCUUACCAAGGCAACGAUACGUAGCCGACCUGAGAGGGUGAUCGGCCACACUGGAACUGAGACACGGUCCAGACUCCUACGGGAGGCAGCAGUAGGGAAUCUUCCGCAAUGGGCGAAAGCCUGACGGAGCAACGCCGCGUGAGUGAUGAAGGUCUUCGGAUCGUAAAACUCUGUUAUUAGGGAAGAACAAAUGUGUAAGUAACUGUGCACGUCUUGACGGUACCUAAUCAGAAAGCCACGGCUAACUACGUG